ensembl:lncRNA
UGGGAGAUGCUUUCUGCUUGACUGAUGCAGCACAAGUAAUUUACUGUAUGAGGGAAAUUCUAUUUUUGUGAUAACAUUUUCAACAUGCAUUUCUGUUGUCCUGUCAUCUUAGUGGGUUAAUAGCUGAUAUACAAAUUAGUUGAUCGUUCUUAGAUUAAGGAAAGGUGACUGAAUUCUAGCACGAGUGAAUGGGAUGUUUGGAGUUUGUUAGAGUGGAGACUCUAAAACACUGAGUUUCCUGUUUUGAUAUGUGAGUGAAUCCUGCACCCAGAUACACAACUCUGAAUACAUAAGAACAAACUUCUUUUGUGAAGUGCAUGACAACAUGUCACAUGUUUUAUGAUGACGGGAAAAAAGGAAAGCUGAAUAAAAUGUGUCUGUGGCCUAAAUGAGUGAAGAGCACAGACCUGGGGAUUAAACUCAUAGCUAAUGAGACAUAUUAGGAUUAUGUUGUGUGUUGUGCAGCUGAUGGUUGGUUUGGAGUGAAUCUAGCUGAUGGUUUUUCUUUUGUUGUGAAGUUGAGCCUGCCAAUUAGUAUGAUGGUAUGAUAAACCAUGCUAAUGGUAUGAUUUACCCUCCUGAGAUAAGGAGCUUGUGUCAUGACGUAACAAGGCCUUUUAUUUUGAUACUUUCACAGUGCACUGAAAGUUUUGUUUGAUAAUCUCUGUUAUUUUUCAUUUUAUUUUUAUUUUUUGAACAGUGCACUAAUUUCUCUUUGUGAAUUUCUUUUCUUUAAGCAGAUCUGCACAACGGGAAUUAAAAGUGCUACACGUCGUCGAGAAAAUUGUUACAAGUGAGUUUCUCCACAUUAAAAUGGGCUCAGGAGAAAGCCACUUAUUUGGGACAAUUAGAAAAUGAGAGUCCCUGCCCAAAAAGCAAGGAAAUACAGGUGCAGCAGUAAUCUCCUGAGGAAUCUUCAGAGGCCCAGUGAGAAGCGAGAACCAUUCCAGGCAUAGCUGACAGCCCAGGCAGUGGUUGAGGUCAAAGGUCGAGCUGGUUGGGGCCCAUCAUGAGAUCAAACUUUGAAGCCACAGCAAGGACCAUGAAACUGCGUUGGAAUGAGAGCUGUGCCAAGGGGGAUUUCCAGAGGCCAACAGAGGAGAUUGUGGACAACAGACGGGCACCUGAAGGAUGAGGGGAGCGUGCCAAGCUCCAUCGACAGCGCAGAGGGAGUCUAAGGAUGGCAUCAUGAUUCUGUGAAAGCACAGGAACCAGAAGCUAUGGUGGUGAUGACAGCAGUUUCCUAUGAACAUCACCUAAUGCUGUGUCACUAUACUGUGCAUACGAUGGAACACUGAAGACUGCUGGGAUCAUAACAGCAGUAAGAUAACUGGACCCAGCACCCUUUCCACAGAGGGGUUUUUCUGCAGAGGAUGGACAGUAGAAGAGCCAUAAGUAUAUCCACGACAGGACAAAGACAGAAUCGGCAAAUACAGACUAUUAUGUCUGUUCUCAUAUGCCAGUACAUCAACACACCCCACACUAUAUGUGUUCCUGGACCAACUCCCAGGGAAGAACUACUCCAUGAUAUUAGCAGCGAGAGGGGGACUUUGUGUCCUCUUCAAUAACACCUGCUGCACUUACAUACUGGACGAUGUACGCUCAUUAAACAUGACUGACGCCCUGAAUGCUUUGAGACAAAUCCAGCAGGCCCAAAAUCAGGACUAUGUAAGUGAUACAAGUGACUGGUUUUCUUGGCUAUACACUGGCUCCUGGUUACAGGUGCUAAAAGGACUACUCAUCGGAGUUGGGAUAUUUUUACUUUUAUUUUGUGUUCUUGUAACGUGUAUACUGCCAUGUCUAAAACUCAUGAUUAACCGCAUAAUAUUUUCCACUGUUGCUGCAUAUACAGCCGUGACAAAUGAACAUGAAGACUUUGUGUGAUUAAUGACGAUGUGACAGAAAAUGUACAACAAGAUUUUACAUACUGAUAUCUCACCUAAAGAUAUACUGACAACAGGAGGGAAUGUCAAUGGAAAAUUGUAUUUAGUAGUCAGUAUAGUCUUUUAGUGAUAUAAGUUUGAAUAUGGUAGAAUACUGCAUGUAAUCAUUUGUGUUUAGAAGUAUAUAGUUGGUGGCAUAUUGAAAGAAUGUCUCAUCCUAGGAGGUCUGUAACAUUCCAGGGUGUUCUGGCGUUCACCCCCACAUCCUAGGAGCAUGGGAGAGGUCGUACCUUGUCUUAUUGUUUUACGGUAGGAUUAACGUAGCUAUAUCUGUCUAAGUGCUUUUUGUUUAGAUGAACUGCUGGACUUUAUGGGGUCACACACACACACACACACUGAAGUAUAAAUAAAACCCGG